UUGCUCACUUCAGCAGCACAAAUACUAAAAUUGGAACUGUACAGAGAAGAUGAGCAUGGCCCCUGUAUGAGGAUUACAUACAAAUUUGUGAAGCAUUCCAUCAAAAA